CUAACUGGAGGACCGAACCGACUAAUGUUGAAAAAUUAGCGGAUGACUUGUGGCUGGGGGUGAAAGGCCAAUCAAACCGGGAGAUAGCUGGUUCUCCCCGAAAGCUAUUUAGGUAGCGCCUCGUGAACUCAUCUUCGGGGGUAGAGCACUGUUUCGGCUAGGGGGUCAUCCCGACUUACCAACCCGAUGCAAACUACGAAUACCGAAGAAUGUUAUCACGGGAGACACACGGCGGGUGCUAACGUCCGUCGUGAAGAGGGAAACAACCCAGACCGCCAGCUAAGGUCCCAAAGUCAUGGUUAAGUGGGAAACGAUGUGGGAAGGCACAGACAGCCAGGAUGUUGGCUUAGAAGCAGCCAUCAUUUAAAGAAAGCGUAAUAGCUCACUGGUCGAGUCGGCCUGCGCGGAAGAUGUAACGGGGCUAAACCAUGCACCGAAGCUGCGGCAGCGACACUAUGUGUUGUUGGGUAGGGGAGCGUUCUGUAAGCCUGCGAAGGUGUGCUGUGAGGCAUGCUGGAGGUAUCAGAAGUGCGAAUGCUGACAUAAGUAACGAUAAAGCGGGUGAAAAGCCCGCUCGCCGGAAGACCAAGGGUUCCUGUCCAACGUUAAUCGGGGCAGGGUGAGUCGACCCCUAAGGCGAGGCCGAAAGGCGUAGUCGAUGGGAAACAGGUUAAUAUUCCUGUACUUGGUGUUACUGCGAAGGGGGGACGGAGAAGGCUAUGUUAGCCGGGCGACGGUUGUCCCGGUUUAAGCAUGUAGGCUGGUUGUCCAGGCAAAUCCGGAUAAUCAAGGCUGAGGUGUGAUGACGAGGCACUACGGUGCUGAAGUAACAAAUGCCCUGCUUCCAGGAAAAGCCUCUAAGCAUCAGGUAACAUUAAAUCGUACCCCAAACCGACACAGGUGGUCAGGUAGAGAAUACCAAGGCGCUUGAGAGAACUCGGGUGAAGGAACUAGGCAAAAUGGUGCCGUAACUUCGGGAGAAGGCACGCUGGUGUGUAGGUGA
rnacentral:rRNA from 1 species